rnacentral:tRNA from 1 species
GGACCGGUAGCAAAAUUGGCUGAAUGCAGCGGACUUUUAACCCGCAGGAGAAAUCCCACUGUGAGUUCGAAUCUCACCCGGUUCACCA